rnacentral:piRNA from 1 species
UGAUAUGGAAGCAUUCUGGUUUGUUCUAGAA